UACGGAGGGUGCAAGCGUUAUCCGGAUUCACUGGGUUUAAAGGGUGCGUAGGAGGACAGGUAAGUCAGUGGUGAAAUCUUCGAGCUUAACUCGGAACUGCCGUUGAUACUAUCUGUCUUGAAUAUUGUGGAGGUGAGCGGAAUAUGUCAUGUAGCGGUGAAAUGCUUAGAUAUGACAUAGAACACCAAUUGCGAAGCAGCUCGCUACACAUAUAUUGACUCUGAGGCACGAAAGCGUGGGGAUCAAACAGG
rnacentral:rRNA from 1 species